rnacentral:rRNA from 1 species
AGGUUUCCGUAGGUGAACCUGCGGAAGGAUCAUUACUGAGUGAGGGCCCUCUGGGUCCAACCUCCCACCCGUGUUUUAUUGUACCUUGUUGCUUCGGCAGGCCCGCCUCACGGCCGCCGGGGGGCCUCUGCCCCCGGGCCCGCGCCUGCCGAAGACACCCUUGAACGCUGUCUGAAGUUUGCAGUCUGAGCGAAAAGCAAAAUUUAUUAAAACUUUCAACAACGGAUCUCUUGGUUCCGGCAUCGAUGAAGAACGCAGCGAAAUGCGAUAACUAAUGUGAAUUGCAGAAUUCAGUGAAUCAUCGAGUCUUUGAACGCACAUUGCGCCCCCUGGUAUUCCGGGGGGCAUGCCUGUCCGAGCGUCAUUGCUGCCCUCAAGCACGGCUUGUGUGUUGGGCCUCCGUCCCCCACCCGGGGGACGGGCCCGAAAGGCAGCGGCGGCACCGUGUCCGGUCCUCGAGCGUAUGGGGCUUUGUCACCCGCUCUGUAGGCCCGGCCGGCGCCUGCCGACCCUCAUCAUCCUUUUUUCAGGUUGACCUCGGAUCAGGUAGGGAUACCCGCUGAACUUAAGCAUAUCAAU